rnacentral:rRNA from 1 species
UACGGAGGGUGCAAGCGUUAAUCGGAAUCACUGGGCGUAAAGCGCACGUAGGCGGACUCUUAAGUCGGUGGUGAAAUCCUGGAGCUCAACUCCAGAACUGCCUUCGAUACUGAGAGUCUUGAGUCCGGGAGAGGUGAGUGGAACUGCGAGUGUAGAGGUGAAAUUCGUAGAUAUUCGCAAGAACACCAGUGGCGAAGGCGGCUCAUUGGCCCGGUACUGACGCUGAGGUGCGAAAGCGUGGGGAGCAAACAGG